rnacentral:rRNA from 1 species
UACAGAGGGGGCAAGCGUUUAUUCGGAAUUAUUGGGCGUAAAAGGGCGCGUAGGCGGCCUGGCAAGUGGAAGGUGAAAUCCCUCGGCUUAAACCGAGGGAACUGCCCCUCCAAAACUGCUUGGCUUGAGUCCGGGGAGAGGUGAGUGGAAUUCCCAGUGUAGCGGUGAAAUGCGUAGAUAUUGGGAGGAACACCAGUGGCGAAGGGCGGCUCACUGGACCGGAACUGACGCUGAGGCGCGAAAAGCCAGGGGAGCAAACGGGG